ACUGGAGCGGAGCGCGGAGCGGCCGAGGUGCAUGCUGGGAGGCGUAGUCUCUCCGGCGGCUCAGGUCGUUGGGUAACGGGCGUGGAAACAGGUGGGAAGAAGUAUCGGAUUAACACGUCUGCUGCAGGGUAUAGUCUAAUCCGAAUUGGCAUAGGAAGGGGGGCGCGCGGCGGGCGUCCUCCGUGGGGUAGCAGUAGAUGCUUCCUCUGCAGAGACUAAGAGCCUGAGGUCUGAGCAGAGCAAUCGCUGCUUCAAAUCUCAUUCUGACUGGUAAUCGUUUCAAAAUAACCGGGGUGAGCAAAGUAGACGGGGGAUGUAGAUGCUUGAUUAAGAUUUUGUUAGCAUACCUGGAAGGGGUCAGGGCUUUUUCUUCAUGUUUUGUAAAUAAACACUGGGGGUGGGCAUGCAAACUGCUUGUUGGUUUAAUAUGUCUAUGGACAUAUCUCAGCUUAUCAUUUAUAUUUAUUUUUUCUAGAAACUCUUCUAAUCUUGAACAUUACAAAAAACGAAAACAGCAGCAGUUUCUUGGUAAUUUACACUGAAAUCCUGGCCAUGUGUACUCAGCAGUAAAUCCUUUUUAAUUCAAUUAAGCUUAUUCCCUGGUAAAAGGAGUUUAGGACUGCAUCCAUUAUUUUGUGUAAACAUUACUGGUUUAAAACACAGCUAGAUUGUUCUUUUCCUCAAGUCGGGCUGAAGGUAGUUUGUGGGGAAAGUGUAUUGAAAUGCAGUAUUUCAUAAGGAAUAAUAAUAAUACUCUGGGCGGCUCCCAACAGAAUAUUAAAAACAUGAUAAGGAAAACAACAGGGCAGAUAUGGAUUGUGGCAAACGUCAUGUGUACACUGCUUCCCAAGCCACUGUUGGGAGCACACUGGGUGCAGAGUAAACAAGGGUGUGUACCCAGCUGUCAUUUCCCAGUGUUACAGUUAGACCAGCCUACCUGACUGGCACAUGUACAGCUUUAAGAAUCCCACUAUAAAAUCGCAGGCACCUUGCAGAUUUGUUUUGAAAAGCAUCUCUGUCGCACACAUGGUGCCUCUCACAUCUCCAUAAAAGAGCUUCUAAGCCCCACAGAACAAGCGGCCUCUCACAGAAUUGUAUACAACAAGGCACCCCACUGCUCCAUGGCAGUAAAAACAAAAGAACACCCAAGUGCCAGACGCUAUCAAACACCUCAAAAUGCUUCUAGGAUAGCCAUGCCUAGGAUGGAUAUUCCCUGCAAUAUCAUAGUUCUGUAAAACAUUACCUUCUACAUAUAUCCCAUUGCACAAGUACCCCUAAAAUGGCAGAAGCACUUUACAACCUGCGUUAUAGCAUGCCAUUAAAUUGAGUACAGUCUCUUCUAAUUGGCAACAACUCUCUUCCGAGGUCUCAAGCACACACAGUCUUUUCUAGCCUUGCUACCUCGAGUCCUUGAACAAGUAGCUCCAGGUAUUGAACCUGGGAACUUAUACAUAUCAGCCCCAGCCAGCAUGACCCGUGGUCAGGGAUGAUGGAAGCAAUAGCAAAAUCUUGAAGGUACCAAGUUAGCUACCCUGUAUGCCAGGAAUAGAGAACCUGUGACCUUCCAAAUGUUGUUGGACUCCAACUCCCAUCUGCCCCUGCCAGCAUGGCCAACGGACAGGGAUGAUGGGAGAGAGAGUUAGGGUUGCCACCCGUCCCUAGAAAUAUGUGAUUGUCCUUUUGGGGGAGAAAAGUGCCCCCUGCCCUGUUUGGACGGGAUGCCUUUUUUCAUGCAUUCAAGCUCAUUCUCAUCCUCAAAACUGUGCGAGCAGAGGGUGGGUCCGAU